GAUGAACGCUGGCGGCGUGCCUAAUACAUGCAAGUCGAGCGAACAGACGAGGAGCUUGCCACUCUGACGUUAGCGCCGGACGGGUGAGUAACACGUGGAUAACCUACCUAUAAGACUGGGAUAACUUCGGGAAACCGGAGCUAAUACCGGAUAAUAUAUUGAACCGCAUGGUUCAAUAGUGAAAGACGGUUUUGCUGUCACUUAUAGAUGGAUCCGCGCCGCAUUAGCUAGUUGGUAAGGUAACGGCUUACCAAGGCAACGAUGCGUAGCCGACCUGAGAGGGUGAUCGGCCACACUGGAACUGAGACACGGUCCAGACUCCUACGGGAGGCAGCAGUAGGGAAUCUUCCGCAAUGGGCGAAAGCCUGACGGAGCAACGCCGCGUGAGUGAUGAAGGUCUGCGGAUCGUAAAACUCUGUUAUUAGGGAAGAACAAAUGUGUAAGUAACUAUGCACGUCUUGACGGUACCUAAUCAGAAAGCCACGGCUAACUACGUG
rnacentral:rRNA from 1 species